rnacentral:rRNA from 1 species
AGAGUUUGAUCCUGGCUCAGGAUGAACGCUGGCGGCGUGCUUAACACAUGCAAGUCGAACGAUCCUUCGGGAUAGUGGCGGACGGGUGAGUAACGCGUGGGAAUCUGCCCUCAGGAGGGGGAUAACGGCUGGAAACGGCCGCUAAUACCCCAUAUGCCGAGAGGUGAAACGAAUUUCGCCUGAGGAUGAGCCCGCGUCUGAUUAGCUAGUUGGUGGGGUAACGGCCCACCAAGGCGACGAUCAGUAGCUGGUCUGAGAGGAUGAUCAGCCACACUGGGACUGAGACACGGCCCAGACUCCUACGGGAGGCAGCAGUGGGGAAUUUUCCGCAAUGGGCGAAAGCCUGACGGAGCAACGCCGCGUGAGGGAUGAAGGCCUCUGGGCUGUAAACCUCUUUUCUCAAGGAAGAAGACCUGACGGUACUUGAGGAAUAAGCCACGGCUAAUUCCGUGCCAGCAGCCGCGGUAAUACGGGAGUGGCAAGCGUUAUCCGGAAUUAUUGGGCGUAAAGCGUCCGCAGGCGGCCUUGUAAGUCUGUUGUUAAAGCGUGGAGCUUAACUCCAUUUAAGCAAUGGAACUACAAGGCUGGAGUGUGGUAGGGGCAGAGGGAAUUCCCGGUGUAGCGGUGAAAUGCGUAGAUAUCGGGAAGAACACCAGUGGCGAAGGCGCUCUGCUGGGCCAUAACUGACGCUCAUGGACGAAAGCCAGGGGAGCGAAAGGGAUUAGAUACCCCUGUAGUCCUGGCCGUAAACGAUGAACACUAGGUGUCUGGGGAAUCGACCCCCUCGGUGUCGUAGCCAACGCGUUAAGUGUUCCGCCUGGGGAGUACGCACGCAAGUGUGAAACUCAAAGGAAUUGACGGGGGCCCGCACAAGCGGUGGAGUAUGUGGUUUAAUUCGAUGCAACGCGAAGAACCUUACCAGGGUUUGACAUCCUGCGAACCCCUGAGAAAUCGGGGGGUGCCUUCGGGAGCGCAGAGACAGGUGGUGCAUGGCUGUCGUCAGCUCGUGUCGUGAGAUGUUGGGUUAAGUCCCGCAACGAGCGCAACCCACGUCUUUAGUUGCCAGCAUUCAGUUGGGCACUCUAGAGAGACCGCCGGUGAUAAACCGGAGGAAGGUGUGGAUGACGUCAAGUCAUCAUGCCCCUUACAUCCUGGGCUACACACGUACUACAAUGCUACGGACAAAGGGCAGCAAGCUCGCGAGAGUUAGCAAAUCCCAUAAACCGUGGCUCAGUUCAGAUCGUAGGCUGCAACUCGCCUACGU